rnacentral:rRNA from 1 species
UACGGGAGGCAGCAGUGGGGAAUAUUGCACAAUGGGCGCAAGCCUGAUGCAGCCAUGCCGCGUGUAUGAAGAAGGCCUUCGGGUUGUAAAGUACUUUCAGUCGUGAGGAAGGUGUUAAGGUUAAUAACCUUAGCAAUUGACGUUAGCGACAGAAGAAGCACCGGCUAACUCCGUGCCAGCAGCCGCGGUAAUACGGAGGGUGCGAGCGUUAAUCGGAAUUACUGGGCGUAAAGGGCACGCAGGCGGUUAAUUAAAGUUGGAUGUGAAAUCCCCGGGCUUAACCUGGGAAUGGCAUUCAAGACUGGUUAGCUAGAGUCUUGUAGAGGGGGUAGAAUUCCAUGUGUAGCGGUGAAAUGCGUAGAGAUGUGGAGGAAAUACCGGUGGCGAAAGGCGGGCCCCCUGGGACAAAAGGGACUGGACGCUCAAUG